rnacentral:rRNA from 1 species
UAGGGAAUCUUCCACAAUGGACGCAAGUCUGAUGGAGCAACGCCGCGUGAGUGAAGAAGGUUUUCGGACCGUAAAGCUCUGUUGUUGGUGAAGAAGGAUAGAGGUAGUAACUGGCCUUUAUUUGACGGUAAUCAACCAGAAAGUCACGGCUAACUACGUGCCAGCAGCCGCGGUAAUACGUAGGUGGCAAGCGUUGUCCGGAUUUAUUGGGCGUAAAGCGAGCGCAGGCGGAAGAAUAAGUCUGACGUGAAAGCCCUCGGCUUAACCGAGGAAUUGCAUCGGAAACUGUUUUCUUGAGUGCAGAAGAGGAGAGUAGAACUCCAUGUGUAGCGGUGGAAUGCGUAGAUAUAUGGAAGAAUACCAGUGGCGAAGGCGGCUCUCUGGUCUGCAACUGACGCUGAGGCUCGAAAGCAUGGGUAGCGAACAGGAUUAGAUACCCUGGUAGUCCAUGCCGUAAACGAUGAGUGCUAAGUGUUGGGAGGCUUCCGCCUCUCAGUGCUGCAGCUAACGCAUUAAGCACUCCGCCUGGGGAGUACGACCGCAAGGUUGAAGC